GAUGAACGCUGGCGGCGUGCCUAAUACAUGCAAGUCGAGCGAAUGGAUUAAGAGCUUGCUCUUAUGAAGUUAGCGGCGGACGGGUGAGUAACACGUGGGUAACCUGCCCAUAAGACUGGGAUAACUCCGGGAAACCGGGGCUAAUACCGGAUAACAUUUUGAACCGCAUGGUUCGAAAUUGAAAGGCGGCUUCGCCUGUCACUUAUGGAUGGACCCGCGUCGCAUUAGCUAGUUGGUGAGGGAACGGCUCACCAAGGCAACGAUGCGUAGCCGACCUGAGAGGGUGAUCGGCCACACUGGGACUGAGACACGGCCCAGACUCCUACGGGAGGCAGCAGUAGGGAAUCUUCCGCAAUGGACGAAAGUCUGACGGAGCAACGCCGCGUGAGUGAUGAAGGCUUUCGGGUCGUAAAACUCUGUUGUUAGGGAAGAACAAGUGCUAGUUGAAUAAGCUGACACCUUGACGGUACCUAACCAGAAAGCCACGGCUAACUACGUGCCAGCAGCCGCAGUAA
rnacentral:rRNA from 1 species